rnacentral:rRNA from 1 species
GACGAACGCUGGCGGCGUGCCUAAUACAUGCAAGUAGAACGCUGAAGGAGGAGCUUGCUUCUCCGGAUGAGUUGCGAACGGGUGAGUAACGCGUAGGUAACCUGCCUGGUAGCGGGGGAUAACUAUUGGAAACGAUAGCUAAUACCGCAUAAUAGUAGAUGUUGCAUGACAUUUGCUUAAAAGGUGCAAUUGCAUCACUACCAGAUGGACCUGCGUUGUAUUAGCUAGUUGGUGGGGUAACGGCUCACCAAGGCGACGAUACAUAGCCGACCUGAGAGGGUGAUCGGCCACACUGGGACUGAGACACGGCCCAGACUCCUACGGGAGGCAGCAGUAGGGAAUCUUCGGCAAUGGACGGAAGUCUGACCGAGCAACGCCGCGUGAGUGAAGAAGGUCUUCGGAUCGUAAAGCUCUGUUGUAAGAGAAGAACGAGUGUGAGAGUGGAAAGUUCACACUGUGACGGUAUCUUACCAGAAAGGGACGGCUAACUACGUGCCAGCAGCCGCGGUAAUACGUAGGUCCCGAGCGUUGUCCGGAUUUAUUGGGCGUAAAGCGAGCGCAGGCGGUUAGAUAAGUCUGAAGUUAAAGGCUGUGGCUUAACCAUAGUACGCUUUGGAAACUGUUUAACUUGAGUGCAAGAGGGGAGAGUGGAAUUCCAUGUGUAGCGGUGAAAUGCGUAGAUAUAUGGAGGAACACCGGUGGCGAAAGCGGCUCUCUGGCUUGUAACUGACGCUGAGGCUCGAAAGCGUGGGGAGCAAACAGG